rnacentral:lncRNA from 1 species
CGCAUAUGAACGUGUACAGGUAUCUAACAUUUUCAUUUCCUCCAACUGCCCCUCUCACUGACACAACUCUCUCUCCCCCUACCAUCCCCGCUUCCCUCAAACUGCCAUUCCCACCGACUAUACUUUCUCCCUCCUUUCGGCCGAAACGGGCAACCUCACCAACAACAGUUUCUCUACCUUACACACAGGCCCCGUCGUGAACAUUUGUGACGCUCGCCGCAACCACGAUUGAGGGAAAGGGCCUCAACGUUAACCUCUACGAUCGAAUCUGUAGCCUGUACAAGAUAUUCGGCACCGAUCUUCUCCACCAACCGAACAUGGAUCCCGCUGAAAGUUAGGUAUACCCACUUCGUUCCCCUUGUUUCCCACACUUCCAUUACGUUUUGCUUCAAUGCUAACGACCCAUAAUACUUCACAGUCGGGCGCGAGCCGACAACGCUUGUCCAACACCGCUACCGAACCGUAAGGGGAUCUAGCUCGAAAACCUAUGCGCGUUGGAUCCCGGACAUGAAUUGGGCCUUCAUGACUGCCUGCGAAACAACCAUAGUGGAGGGACACUAGAACAGCAGGUGUUUCACAAAACACAGUUGGGAACGUGUGUCCGCCCUCUUCAACUCCGUCAUCGGGCACAGCUGGAGCAAGCAGCAGUUGCGAAACUAUUGGGACGGAAUGCGACGAACCCACAAACAUCUGUCGGAGCUUGUGAACAACAGCGGGGUGGAGUAUGAAGCAGCAACCGACCACAGUGGUGGAGUCGGAAGCUUAAGGUAACGUCUCACACCUUCGCUGAUUUGGCCCACCCUCCAAUUCAUGAAGAACUAUGUAUAUUCGGCCACUUCACUUUACUGCCAAACUGCUGCCCUUAACAAACUUUACCAUUUUCCUUCGUUAACUUGAACCACCUUGAAUUGACUGAGACGAACUGAGUAUUUACAAACUGCAAUGAAUAAUUAGCAACAAAUGUGCAUGAAUGAUGAAUUGAUUUCUAAUUUCGACUAGAAUUCACUACAAAAUCAUUAUGGGUUGGAAAUUGGUUUCUGUUAAUUAGUGGCUUUUUCUUUCCACGACGAACAUGGACUUCAUAAAUUAAUCAGUUGUAUGCUUGUUGCGUUGGAAUGUCACAUGCGGUUGACGUGAUCAAAUUGAAUAACGUCAUUGUUAUGCACUAAUUUUUUCUAUUGCUUAUAUCAGUUUCAGACUUUAUACCGUUGCUAUCUUCAAAUUUUUUUUAAUGGCUUACUAUGUGGUUUUCGUGUCCCUGUUCGAUGAAUUUGGGGAAGAUCUGUAAUUCUCAAAACUGCAUACACUUCAACAUAAUGCGAAUAGUGUUCGUUAUUUAUUGGCAAGUCAAAUAUGAAAUUAUGCAUCGACCUACGCACUAAUUUUCCAAAAAAUGGAAACACAACCAAAAAAAUCGUCAAUUUUUUUUUUGGAAAAUAAUAAGCUUGUUUCAAUUCUUCUCUCGAAGCACAAUGAGUCGGACAUAGCGUAUCAUGCAUAUUUUGUUGCGUAUUCUCGUAUCUCACAUUUUUUCUAUCUUUACGCAUUCCAAAUUCCAGUCCAUGCUGAUACUCUAACUCCUCAACCCAUGCUUUGCGGAGAAUAAGGGGUACAAAGACUUCAAGUACAAGGACCUGAGCGAGAUCUACAUUCGCUGCUGUUAGCUACUCGGAGACAGCUACGAUGGAGACAAGUACAUCGUCACUCCCACUAAAUUAUGCAAAAUGGGAUUCAACCUGUACGAGUGUGCUAGAAGACAAUAGUGAUACUAUUCUGAUCGACGUCGAGAGCAGUGGCUUGAGGGACGAGGCCAAACAAACAAAUGCUAGGGUACACAAGCAGUAGUAAACGAAAAUCUUCAGAUGGACAACGAAGAGGCUGUAAGAAAAAAAGUCUGCCCGUGAACUAUUUUUCUUAGUUGACCGUGCCAUGAGUGCCGCGGAGGAAGUGGCAGCGAAGAUUAACACGAUGAUGGCCACAAGCAAAAGUGCUGGCGUUUCCUUUAUUGAAGAGCUGUUGGAGACAUGAUGGCUCGAAUGGAGAAAUCCCAUGUACUUUUUUGCCUGCGCACUUCUUGCACAGAAGUGUUACCGGGACAUGUUGGCUGUCAUGAAGGACGUGGAUGAGAAAUUUGAGUGGAUCGAGUGAAUAUUUAACAAUCGAGGAAAGUAAUUAUGCUGGUUGUUUAUUUUUUCUGUUCUAUUAAGUAAUGGUGAAAACUGUCUUCUUUUUUCUGUACUAUCGUCUCAGCAUUGUAAUUCAUGUGUUUUACUUUUUUCUAUGGUAGUCUAAACGUACUCAAGUACUGUGCUCCAUUAUUUCCUGCAUAGCGUUCAAUAGUUCCACUCUGCAUUAUAGGCAAACCUAAGCCUCAACAUAAUGGAUAGGAAAAGUUUGUCACAUUCACAUUUUUUCAAAGUUCCUCAUUUUAUCACGUCACUAUCAAAGAAAGAAUAAUUUUUAGUGAAAGAGAACCUAUAGCCCCAGUCUGAAAAAGGGUGUGUGCACACAUUGUGAGGCCACAGUUUUCAAACCUUGCAAGCACUAGAGAAUAAUUG